rnacentral:tRNA from 1 species
GCUGGGAUGGCCGAGUCGUUAAGGCGAGUGAUUUGAAUUGUCCAUAUCACUUGGGCGCUGCCCGCGUAGGUUCAAAUCCUGCUUCCAGCG